rnacentral:misc_RNA from 1 species
CAAACGCAAACAUAUGCUGCUACUGCUUGGGCGAUCUAAUCUGAGCAAUUAGCCAGUCGCCUAUUUCGCCUGGAGAUGGCGGGACAAGCUCAACCACCAAACACGGAUCAAUUCGAAGCUUACUUCAGGAGAGCUGAUUUAGAUGGAGAUGGCAGGAUCAGUGGAGCUGAAGCUGUUUUUUUCCUUCAAGGAGCCAAUUUACCCAAACAAGUUCUUGCUCAGAUCUGGAUGCAUGCUGAUCAGAGUCAUACUGGCUUCCUUGGUCGUGGCGGAAUUUUAUAAUGCUCUCAAACUUGUGACAGUUGCACAGAGUAAAAGAGAAUUGACACCAGACAUUGUCAAGGCAGCAUUAUAUGGCCCUGCUGCAGCUAAAAUUCCACCACCAAAAAUUAAUCCUCCAGCCACUCCUGUUCAACAGGUAAACUCAAUGGGUGCUGCAUCUGCCCCACAGAUGGGUGCAGUUGCCCCAACAGCAUCUCAGAAUCUUGGCUUUAGAGGGCCAGGAGUUCCAAAUGCUAGUAUGAACCAGCAUUAUUUUCCUUCUCAACAAAGUCAGUCAAUGAGACCACCUCAGGCCAUCCCUCCUGGAAAUGCUUCCCGUCCUCCUCAGGGCAUUAUUAGUCCAGAAUUCUCUAGAGGUGGUAGUAUGGUUGGUCAUUCUCAGGCUAUGCCUACUAGCACUGCUUCUGGUCCCCCUCAAGCCAUUCUUGGUUCUACUUCUAGUACUGGCAUGCCAGGCUCAAACAUCUCAACUGGUUGGAUUAGUGGAAAGACAACCGCAGCUUUAACAGGCCCUCCAUCCACAUCCAAUACUACUAUGCAGCCACAAACUCAAGUUUCUUUGUUGUCCCAGCCAACUGCUAGUGAUUCUAAAGCAUCAAUUGUUUCUGGAAAUGGGUUUGCAACUGACUCAUCUUUUGGAGGUGAUGUGUUUUCUGCAAUCUCUUCGACUGGAAAAAAAGAAACUUCUGUGCCUGCUUAUUCUUCUAGUGGUCCACCAGCCUUAGCAACUGCAGUUCCAGCUUCUAGUGGAGGUCACCUCCCUGUUAAGUCCAACUCACUUGAUUCACUGCAGAGUGCUUUGGCUAUGCAACCUCUAGGAGGUGGUCAGCUUCAACGAGCCCAAUCACUCCCAACAUCAGGUCAACAAGUUUCAGCUUCAAGUUCUUCCUCACUUGCAUCCCCUAGCAUCUCACUUGGACUUGGAAGCUCAUCUGAUGAUUCACAGAUUCCUUGGCCAAAGAUGAAACCAUCAGAUGUUCAGAAAUAUACUAAAGUGUUUGUGGAAGUAGAUACUGAUAGAGAUGGAAGAAUAACUGGUGAGCAGGCUCGUAAUCUAUUUUUGAGUUGGAGACUACCACGAGAGGUUUUAAAGCAGGUCUGGGACUUAUCUGAUCAGGAUAGUGAUAGCAUGCUUUCUUUGAGGGAAUUCUGCUUUGCUCUUUAUUUGAUGGAGCGUUACAGGGAAGGUCGUCCUCUUCCUGCAUCACUUCCAAGAAACGUUAUGUUAGAUGAGACACUAUUGUCCAUGACAGGUCAACCAAAAGUUGCUUAUGGAAAUGCAGCAUGGGGUCAAAGCCCUGGUUUUGGACAAUUGCCUGGAAUGGGUACUCAACCGAUAGCUCCUGCCACUGGUUUGAGGCCACCAGUUCCAGUGACCGGACCCUGGGCUCUGCCUGACGGUGUAAUGGCAUCUAAUCAGCAGAAGCCAAGAGCACCUGUUUUGGAGGAUUCCUUUCUGAAAAAAAGUGAUGGUGGAGAGGAGAACUCAGUGCCUCAGCAGGAUGGAAUAGCCUCAGACAAAAAGGUUGAUGAACCAGAAAAGGUGAUUUUGGAUUCAAAAGAGAAGAUUGAGUUUUACCGUACUAAAAUGCAGGACCUUGUUCUUUAUAAAAGCAGAUGUGAUAAUAGGCUAAAUGAAAUCACAGAAAGGGCCUUGGCAGAUAAGCGUGAGGCAGAGAUGCUGGGUAAGAAAUAUGAAGAGAAGUACAAGCAAGUGGCAGAAGUAGCUUCUAAAUUAACUAUUGAAGAAGCCACAUUCCGUGACAUUCAGGAAAGGAAGUUAGAGUUGCACCAGGCAAUUGUUAACAUGGAACAAGGUGGAAGUGCUGAUGGUAUUCUUCAGGUCCGUGCUGAUCGUAUACAAUCUGAUCUUGAUGAGCUAAUGAAAGCUUUGAUUGAACGUUGCAAGAAACAUGGGUUAGAGGUUAAGUCAACUGCAAUAAUUGAGCUUCCUAUUGGCUGGCAACCUGGAAUUCAAGAAGGAGCAGCUGUGUGGGAUGAAGAGUGGGAUAAGUUCGAAGAUGAAGGAUUUGCCAAUGACCUCACCAUUGAUGUGAAAAAUGCUUCUGCCAUGCAAAAGGAAAAAGCGUCACAAGAUGGUAGUCUAACCCCUGAUUCUUUAUCAAAUGGUGAUGGCAAGUCUGGGAACUUUUUUAGUACUGGUGAACAUGCCCUUGAGGGUGAAUCUGC